AAUUGAGUCAUUACGCAAAUAGGGAGGACCAGACGCAUAAUUACCCCUCAAAGACCCAGUGCGCGGGUUUCAACCUAGCGCGGGUCGGGUCAUCGGGUAUUGGGCUGCCAAAUGGUGUUGUUUUGAGGCCAUCGACAUUGGCCAAAACGGCAUCACCUAAUCCCCCCUUUUAAUAGCCUAAACUAACCCUAAUGAAACAAUUAGCCGCUCACACAAAGAAAAAAAAAGAAGAAAAAAACCCAAAGUUCCCUCCUUUUAAUAUUCGGCCAACCGUUGGUCUCCCAAUUGACUGUUCCUCUGCCUCUUCUUUCGACCCAUAGAGUGGUCAAUCGAGGUUUCAUUGAACCAAGAAGAACUGAGGGUCUUGCUUACAAAUCCCAAAUCACCACUUAAUUUCGAUUGUGGCGAAACAAGCGGGGAUUCGAAGGCUUUGAAAUGCAGGUACGGGUGCGCGUUCGUGUACGGGGGUCAUGCUGGCGCUUGGCGUGAGGGGUACGGAGGCGUGCUGGCGUUUGGCGUGAGGAGUACGGAGGCGAAAGCGUAGGGAGGUUGCUAUUGCGGCGUAGGAGAAAGAAAGGAUCCCUAGGGUUUCUAAAAUUUCUGGGCCAUUUGGGCUCAUUUCAGGUAUUGGGUCAGUCUUUGGGCCGUGGGGUUUUAGUUAUUGGGUCUAGGGUAUGUAUUGGGUUUGUGACUUGGGUCUUGGGUUUUAAUUUGGCUGUUUAACAUUGUAAAUAGACUUAAAAUUUGGUUAUUUGGAUUUUAUUUGUUUUAUUCUUGUGGUCUGGGCCCGGGCAUAAUUUGGGCCUUACAGCAGAUAAGUGAAUCACCCUUAAUUCCAA